ACGCGGCGUAUGAAAUUUGCAUAAACACGUGGACAGGCAGAGGGCUGAAACGUAUCCGGGCUUAAAGACAGCGAGGAAGAAUCGGCGCGGUAACGACCAUGCCCCGUGUUGUGUGGGACGAAUAAUACCUCCGCGUUGCCGCCGUACAGUCGACUGCAAUAACGUCGAUUUUCGACGGCGGUUCGCUCGUAAUUUAACGUUCGUCUCCAUUAUUGGCCCGUUCCUUUCAAAAUCGGGCCACGACACGCGCGUUCCGCUCAGAAAUUCACAAGAUAAUCGGGCACGAUGCGUUUGCAUAUCCGGAAUAAAUCCACCAUCGUCGAUUUCACUUCGCUGUUGGGGUUGCCCUCCCUACCUUUUCUCAAGUAAGUUGAAAGCACGGAGACGUGUAACAUCUUUCUAACAAGCUUCGUAUUACAAAUCUGUCAAUUACUUCUCGUGUUUAUCGUUUAUUAAUUCAUGUUUCAGUGUGCGUAUUGGACCCACGGGAUCCGCUGCUACUAAUUUCAGUUGCUACGCGUCCGCACGUAUUAACGAAUUAAAACGAAAAUCUAGAAUUGACCAAACUUCCUGGGAUCGGAUUGUUGCAUGUUGUCAAUGAAUCCGUUUGAACGUCGCCCGAUCGUUUAUGUUCGAAUGAUAUAUAUCGAUCUAAUUCUGAGAAGACUCGCGCCGAGACGAGAAGUUCAAAGUGUUCUGACGUUACUGUACGACAGAGUAAUAAUCCCAUCGAGGUACACGCGAAUACCGUGAAUACAUACAUACGCGCGGGUCCAGAGGCGUGGACUAAUAGAUCUACGUGAAACGUAUACUUGCUGAUGCAGAGGGCUGAAUAUUUCUGCCUCUCGUGUACAUACGAGAGCUUUCGAGAUCACAGGCACUGUACUUACAAUGAUUAUGCACAUCCAUUGAGAACGGUUUAUUUACAUACACACGUAUUUUAUGUUUAUGCGUUAAAAUCGGUCGACAGUUUUCGACGUCGGAAGAGCAAGAAAGUUUUCAAUAUCCCUUUCAUUUCUCUUUCAGUUCCCUUUCGUAAUAACGAUAAUUGACGGUCUAACGAUUGAUUACGACGUCAUGAUAAAGAUUUUUAGAUACUAAAAUUGAGCUGGUAUCGUUGCAUUAUUUCAGGAAUUGUUUUGAAAUUUUUAUUUUGCCUAUAUACAGGAUGAGUCACCACACAUUGCCAUCUAGACUUACGUCGUUGUUAUUAUUACGCGUAGCGAAAAAUGUUUCAGACGAAGUUGAAUGGUUUUCGAGAGGAAGCACAUUUUGAUGAUGCUAGUUUUCUUGGGUAGAUGGACGUGCAGAGGACAUACGAAGAUUAUUAACGGUUUUUUUUAAACGGAAUCGCAUAUUUUUUUCAUUGCAUCAGUUGAUGCGCUUUGAUAUUCUUUACAAGAAAGUAUUAACCUAUUUAUGUUGAAAAAUCAUUAGUUAUUUUAAUUUUAAUGUUGUUAAAAAAUCGUGACUCUCUCGUCAAUAUCAUGAAUCUGUGUGUGUGUGUGUGUGUGUGUGUGAUGUAAACAUUGAAUAUGUCACCCACACGUCCACCUACAAGAAAACUAGUAUCAUCGAAAUGUGUCCAUCUCGAAACCAUUCAACUUCGUCUAAAACAUGUUUCGCUACGUAAAUUUAGAUGGCGAUAUGUGGUGACCCACUUUGUAUAGUAAUCUCAUUUCUCAAAAAGCUACCAGUGUUUAGACUCUGUAUUCGUAGACUCUGUAUUCGUUGACACUGGUCUCGCAAGAAGGGGGAGAGAAUUCGCGAUUUGUAAAGCCGGAAACUGAUUUAUCAAAAACCAAGUUUCAAGAAAUGCCGACCUCCCCCUUUUUGAGAAAGUGUUGGCAGAAAGAAUUGGCGAGGGGGUAGGAAGACGUUGGAAGCAAAGAUGAGGAAGAGGAGGAGAGUCUCUCGUCUGCUUUUGAAACUUGUCGUGUUGAGCACCUCGCUUUAAAAAAAAAAAAAAAAAAAACCAGCCUUACCACUGUAUCUCUAAAUCGAACGGGCACCGGAGUCACCCGGUGACAAGUGGACACGCCGCGACGCGAUAUCGGGGCACGGUUUUCGCGCCAGGCGUUCGCUACUCCGAUGUGAAAUUAAGAUCGAUUUCACGUCUAACGAGACUCGCCCUGUGGCCAUGGGUGUCGCAGGGCAAAUAAGAAAAGCGUGGAAACGGCAGGAUGAGAUUGAGCCGGUUGGUCGUUCAACCGAGGCCAGUUACAACGGACGUUGGCGCCCGUGAUCCGGUCAGUUUGGCGAGGAACGGUGAGACUAACUCGCUCUCCCGAAGCGGAAAGAAGCGAAACGAAUAGAUGUUCGACGGUGAAAGAAGGAUCCGACGCGCAAAACAACGAACGAAAAAUCACCGAGGGGGAGACACACACGGUGAAGCUGGUGAAUAAAACGAGGAAGGAAGACAAGCUAGUUGGCUGAAGGAGAGAGAAAGAAGUAUCAUAAUGACGAGGGGAAGGAAGACCGUGGCGUGAGAGAGAUGAGGAACCGUGUGUGGUUGAAGGAAUCGAACGAGGCAGGCGGUAGAGUGGAAAACAUAGUUGGUGAGAGAAACAAAGGUGGUUAGACUGGUUGGCGAACGAGCGAGGAAAGGAUGGGAGAUACUAGUACGUUGGAUACGUGGGUCGGAUAAUACUUCCUUGGCGCGUGUAAUGUACUGGUCCGGCGGCGCCGGCGCCUGCAUGUAAUGCUCUUUCUCUUUUUUUUCUUUCUCUCUCUCUUUCUCUCUCUCCCUCGCGGUAGACGCUGUGUUUCUCUCUGCCUUUUGGCAGAGUGCAGCGUAUUUAUAGUGUAUUACUAUUAUAGUAUGUUUACGCGACAUGACACAGAUUCCACAGCGACGCCCCCCCCCCCCUUGGCGCAACCAAUAUGGUUGUAUCCGGUACGCGCCAAAAUUUUAGCGUUCGGGCUGCGUCUAAGAACGGCGGUUAUGGUUGAUGUUAUGACGCACGACACCCGCGCGGUUUCUCGAAAACCGUUUAUUCUCGGCGUCUCGGGAACGUAAACGAACAUAUUAUUGGCCAUCGAUUUUUCGAACGAGAAGUUCGCGGUUGCGACAGAGAACGGCGCCCGGUCACGCGUACUUAGUUCUCUUAAUUAAGAACUUAAGAACGGACUUCAGCCCUCCCGUCGAUGUUAACGGCAAUAUUAAAUUGCAACGCGAUCGCGAUCGCUGUGAAUUAAAUUGCGCCAUUGUUUGCAUUUUUUGUAAUACUUACGUGCCUGUAAGGUUAAACGAGAACGCGAAAAAGAAAAAAAAAAAAAAAAAGAAAAAGAAUCGUUCCUCAACACAACGUAGAAUUACGCGAGGAAUGCACGUGCAUGCGUACGCGCGUGCACAACCUCGUGAAUACGCAAAAAUGUUUGUUGCAUGUUUUGGUUAGGCUUGUCGAUUUACAUAGUGACGCGGAGCCGCGCAGUUACUCAACGCGACGACGAGGACGACAGAGACUGGUGUUUAUCAUCGAUCAGGAGAAAGACGACAAAAAGAGGGAAAAGAGGGAACAGAGGGAACGAGAAACGAGGGGCGUCAGGUCUGUGUCCAUUUGAAUUUUUUCCUCUUUGGCGCCAUAAUUAAUUGACCUCAUUGUGGACAGCGGCUCGGUUCCAAUUGUUUUUUUCCGAUCGGUUAUCAGCGAUGAAUUUGUCCGAACGUCGUAAAUAAAUCUAACGUUAUUCACCAGCGGUUUUUCCUCCUAUUUCUAUUCCGCUUAUUGCGUCGGACAAGAAGUUAGAUCGAUUUAUUGUCCGGAAACUAACCAGACUUUGACUCAAGAAAGUUGUCCCUCGUUACAUUUUUACUUUUUUUGCAGAUUACUUGGUAAUUACUUAGACUGAAGAAUGCGCUUAAGCGAUUUCGAUGAUCUUCGGAUAUAUUGUCAUUUCACUUGCAUAUUAUAAUCACUCUUAAUCUUAUUGUUUCAGAGAUAUAUUUUUUGGGGGGGGGGGCAAUUUACAUUAGAUUUUGCUUGAAUAAUAAAUAAAGGUAAUAAUAACUACAACGUAGUACAUUUAAUAUAUGCAUAUUAAUAUUGUUGGAACAUUUUUAACUAUAAGAUUAGAAAGUAUAAUUACAGGUUACCAUUAUCGACGAAAUACAAAUUCUCCACUGAUAUCUAGCAUAAUAACGUUUCUCCAAACUGGGUCAACGAAAUUGAUAAGGAACUUUUCUCGAAGUAAACAUCCAACAAGCUGGAUUUAUCGUCAAAAAUCGUUGCGAGAGAUCAAAACGUGUUUUUACGAUCAGCGCAAUUACAAAAUAUCCCCGAAAUAUAUAGCGAUUGUGGCGCCGUCCUCGAUCUGGGUUGAUUAGAAUAGACCGGCCGCGAGAGCAAUAACAAAUCGUCAUCCCAGUCUCGAAACCGGCCGAUUCUGAUAGCCUCCGUGAAUGCAUAAUAACCGAUGACUGACUGAAUGUAAACGAGCGGCACGCCACUUGUUCCACGCGUUUGUUGUUCUAUCGUCGACGUGAUAAGAUUCGCGAAAUGCACGUAAACUGAGAUCGACACGGUUAGUAAUCGGCCGAUCGCGAAUUUAAUCGAAUUCGAGCAUCCCAUUCGAGCGUUGUUCAAUUGUCCAACGAAUGAAAACGAAACGAAGGAAAAUAUCUUUCAUUUCUACGUGGCAAAAUAUUUACUGAAUCUGUAUUAAUUAUUUGUAUGUAAUUAAAUCCAAAUACUUUUGAAAGUUAUAAAACGAAAGAUCACGUCGAUCAAUUUAUGAAAAUCUUAAAUGCACAGAAUCUCUUAGCUUAUACAAUAUUAUCGUACAAUAUAAAAAUGUUCUUUAUUCUAUAAAUGAAUAUUCACGCCCGAUAUGAUUCAUUAGAUAAUGUAGUAAUUAUUUAGAAGAUACUAUCGUCUACUAUUUCACACUUCUACAUUUUUACAAGCAUUUAUACUUUGUAGGGACAAUAGGCAAGAGGUUCUAGUAACGCGUCCUCGUGAAUCUCAUCGUAGUUUUUCUAUCCUAAUUGAGCAAUCUAAUCUCUUUUUCUUCUGAUUUGGAGAUUGUGCGUGAUUCACGAAGAGCGGAUAGUCAUCCUGUACAAGACUAGAAUUUGAAAAAAACGUAAAUUGUAUCUUAUAUAGACGUCAAGUGAUUGUUAUAAAGAUUUAUCAUAUGCAACCGUUGCCAAAAUAUCGUUCAUUCCAACCACACCUGCUGAUCCGUGAGAGCAAUUCGACGUUUAUCAAUUUGAUAAUAAACAGUCAGUGCUGUGAUUUCCAGUGUGUGUUUAAAUUCGCCGACAGAAGGGCCUUUGUCUCGUGGUCGGUAAUUUCACUAUCGAUUUCAGAAAUCGUGCAAAUGAUCCAAGGGGCAUCGACGAUUCAUUGCUCGUUGUGGAGCAGAUGCAGCCGCUCUAGGGCGAAACAGAAACACGCACGGGCGACUGCACUCGAUCGCGGUCCUUUUGCCUUUGUAUUUUUGCGAUGCGCGCGCGAAUCCCACCGAUAAAUCAUUCAGACGGCUCUGCGAGAGGAAUGCCAAUCGCGGCGCACUCGCCUGUGCCUCUUUUCACUUUUCUUUCGUAAGGAGCUACUAUAGGUAUACUUAGAACGUCCUUGUACAUGAAAAAUGGUAUAUUUACGUUUAUAGAAAGUGUACAGGUACACAAGCACGAUGGUUUAAUCCUCUCAGUGUUAAUUACUUUUAACAUAACGAGUGAAAAUGAUAGUUUGCAUUCUCGCCAUCUUUUUCACGUUUGUAUCUCCACGGGAGAGCACGAUUUUUUUCUUAAUCAAGUGCAUUUGAACAAACUCG